AAAACAUAUAUUUUAUAUUUAAUUAAAUUUUUAUAUAAACGAGUUCGAGUAAGGAAUACCCUACAUGUAAACUCGAAUUCGACCCGAACCCUUAAUGGGUACUAUUUUUUAAACAUGAAUCCGAUUAUGUCAUACCCAAACUGACCUAUUAGGUUCAGUCGGAUCGGGACCCACAAAAACCUGAUCCAAUGCCAUCCCUAAGUGGGACAAGUAAAAUUGUGGUUGAGCUAUAUGUGCAAAGGUCUUUCAUUGCAACAGAUGAGGUUAAGAGAACUUUAUUUAACAAUGUGAUUUAUAAUCUGAGGUUUGCAUGUAGAGGCCUAUUUGGCAGUAUAAGAAAGAGAAAACAAAAAUAUGAUUAAACUGGAUGGAGUUGCCAGUUGUUUGAAAAGCUUUUUGUAGACUUGCAUUUAAAAGGAAGGGUGGAUCAGAGUUUAAUCUUUAUGUUGAUCUGAAUAUUUAAGAAAUAAGUGCAAGAUGUUCAUCAUUUUACUAUUUUGUUGUCUUGUGUUUCAGCCAGUUCCUCUGUUGUUUCUUUAUAUUUGAAGAUUUAAUGUUUCUUGAUAUUUGAAGAUAAAUAAAAAUGAUGGGAGCAGUAUGAUAAUGCCUUUAGUAUUUAAUGUUUCUCUGAGAAUGAUACAAAAUUAGGAAUGAUAAUAGGGUGCUAGGCUAAUUUGCUUUUAUUGUUUGAAUGCUUUGAAGCAGUUUAGACUGAUGAAGACUCUCUAAUUAUUUUAAUCUGAGGCAGAGUGCAAAGAAACCAGUGUAUGUUGUAUGUACUAGGACAGUGUGCCAAUGUAUUUAAUUUUUGUAUUUGCUGAUUAAGGAUCUGUAAUUAUUUUUCUUUGACUUGUUCUUAAGCUAGUUCAUCAUUUUGGGCAGGGUCACGAAGGCAGAUUCUCUGUUUAUGUGCAUGCCUCCAAGGAAAAACCUGUUCAUGUGAGCCAUUAUUUUGUUAAUAGGGAUGUACACAGUGACCAGGUUAGUAUAUUUGUUGUCUGUCUGUCAUUUUGGUUUAACUAUAAUAUACAUAGUCAUCAUUUUCAUUUCUAUUUUAAUGUCUCUCACUUAUAAAUUUGGGCAUAGAAGAAAAACAAAAAUAAAGCAAAUUCAAUGCCUUUCUACAGUUUUCAUUUGUUGCAGUUGCUUUAACAACUUGCAGCAUCCUAAUAUUACAAUUAUGGCCUGAAAAUAUGUGAUAAUUCUACAAUUCAUUCCCAGUAGGGACAGAAUUUGUAUCAGCAACAGCAAAUUCUUCAGGCCCCUUUGGUUUGGAGUUGACCUUCUGUUUGAUGAUGAUAAUCGAUGAACAAUGUCAUCAAUGAAGCUGUUAUUUGAGCUAUGAAGCUGCAGAACAAAUUUUGAUAGAGUGAUUAGUUAAUUUAAAGUAGGCAAAAAAAAAUUGCAUGGAAACACACCAACAGUAAUGGGUGCUCAAUUUCACUGACAAUAAUCAAACUUCAACAGCAAAAUUAUUCAAUUAUAAUUUUUGUUGUAAUUAAAUCAUUAUUGUACAUGAUAACCAAGUAAACUUUUCAAAUGUACUUCUAGUGGCUCUAGAAUUGCCAUACUUAAUCAUCACAAAAAUUUGGCUAAAACUCUUGAAAUUUAGCAAUUGUGACUUUAUUGAAUCAAAAUUCUGUUGUUAUUUGUUCUUCCAAGUUGUACAUGUCAAAUUUAAUUUAAUUGUCUAAUAUUCAAGGGAGAUGUGGCAAUAGUCUUCUUGGGAAUUUGUGGUUGAUGCAUCAUGCUAACAUUGCUUAUGUAACCAGAAAGGGGAUGCAUGUGGGGCUUCAUUUUUAUCAAUGUCACGUGAUAAGAUGAAAACUAUAUUUAUUAUUAUAGUUUCUUAUGACUGCUGAUGGGGAUAUGGAUAUAAUAUAAUUCUUGCAUAAUUCUAUAGGAUGGUGAUCCAAUAAGUGGAGAGUCAUAACUGCUAUUAAUUAUUUUUGCAGGUGGUGUGGGGAAAAAUUUCAAUGGUUGAUGCAGAGAGACGACUUUUAGGAAAUGCACUUAAAGAUCCUGACAACCAGCAUUUUGUUUUACUUUCUGAUAGUUGCGUGCCAUUGCAUAACUUUGAUUAUGUCUACAACUAUCUGAUGUACACAAAUAUAAGCUUCGUUGAUUGCUUUUAUGAUCCUGGACCACAUGGGAAUGGUCGGUAUUCAGAGCAUAUGUUGCCUGAAAUUGAGAAGAAAGACUUCAGAAAGGGUGCACAGUGGUUCUCAAUGAAGCGACAACAUGCUGUGAUUGUUAUGGCUGAUAGUCUUUACUAUUCUAAAUUCCGGGAGUACUGCAAGCCUGGUCUGGAAGGCAAAAAUUGCAUAGCUGAUGAACAUUAUUUGCCGACAUUUUUCCAUAUGGUUGACCCUAGUGGAAUUGCAAAUUGGUCUGUUACACAUGUUGAUUGGUCUGAGAGAAAGUGGCAUCCAAAAUCUUAUAGGGCUCAAGAUAUUACUUAUGAUCUUCUGAAGAACAUUACGGUAUUGGUCUUCACUUCUAAGUAACUGCAUCUUAUUAUGUGCCUUCAGAGGCCCACUCAUAUUCUUGUGGGCUAAAAUACUUUUCAGUAACAAGGUUUUUUUUUUUCCCUCCCCCUUCAAACAAGAAUGUGUAUGAUUUGAUUGGUGAUCAGAAUUUCAUGGUGUGUAUUGUUACUUUAUUUUAGUUUUGACAUGGUUGGCUUUGUUAAGCCAAUGUUAAGUUUUGCUAGUUAUAAUUCUUAUGGACUGAGAUAAUGAGACUUAAAUGGUUUAUCUGUUUGCAGUCAAUUGACCUGAGUAUACAUGUGACAAGCGAUGACAGGGUACAAGUUUAAAAUCAUUACUCUUAUAUUCUCGGUCAUUAUUGGCUAGACUCUAGAUUUUAUUCGCAUGCAUAUAUUUGUAUCCUUCUCUUGGCUUUUGCAGAAGGAGGUGCAGGUACAGCCAUGCUUAUGGAAUGGUAUCCAACGACCGUGCUACUUAUUUGCGAGGAAAUUCUACCCAGGAGCUAUUGAUAACCUCUUGCAGCUUUUCUCCAAUUAUACAACAAUUUGAGUGAGAUAAUUUUGACUAAAUUCUUUGGUCGAAUCGACAGUUCUUUUCGACCCACACCCCCCCAACCCCCCGGCCAAAAAAAAACUCCAUCUUGGUAUCUUCUUAUAUCUUAAAAAUUUGUAAAUGGUGCAUCAAUGAGGCGUGAAACGUUCCCUAGCACGGUUCUUGUGUGUGCAUGGGCAACCAGGAGAGCAGGCAGGUAGGGUUACUUAGUUGGCGUGGAGGCUAACAGCUUAGUGUUGCUUCCUUUAGAGGGGUGGAUGAUUUGUUGUCCAUUUAUUUCUCCAUUUAGGGCUAUUGAUGUUCCACUUUGGGUAUAGAAAAUUUUGUAAAAGUUGAAAAAUGUGGACUAGCAAAUACAACAACAUUUGAAAAUUAUCCAAAGCUGUGUAAAUUAGGGGGAAAAAAGAAUUGAGAUUGUAUAUUAACUUUUGGCCAGUUACCAUUUUAAAUUCAAAUUUCUUUAGAUUUCCA
rnacentral:misc_RNA from 1 species